GAUGAACGCUGGCGGCGUGCCUAAUACAUGCAAGUAGAACGCUGAAGGAGGAGCUUGCUCUUCUGGAUGAGUUGCGAACGGGUGAGUAACGCGUAGGUAACCUGCCUGGUAGCGGGGGAUAACUAUUGGAAACGAUAGCUAAUACCGCAUGACAACAGUUAUUGCAUGAUAACUGUUUAAAAGGGGCAACUGCUCCACUACCAGAUGGACCUGCGUUGUAUUAGCUAGUUGGUGAGGUAACGGCUCACCAAGGCGACGAUACAUAGCCGACCUGAGAGGGGGAUCGGCCACACUGGGACUGAGACACGGCCCAGACUCCUACGGGAGGCAGCAGUAGGGAAUCGUCGGCAAUGGACGGAAGUCUGACCGAGCAACGCCGCGUGAGUGAAGAAGGUCUUCGGAUCGUAAAGCUCGGUUGUAAGAGAAGAACGAGUGUGAGAGUGGAAAGUUCACUCUGUGACGGUAUCUGACCAGAAAGCGACGGCUAACUACGUG
rnacentral:rRNA from 1 species